rnacentral:rRNA from 1 species
UGGCUCAGAACGAACGCUGGCGGCAGGCCUAACACAUGCAAGUCGAGCGCACCUUCGGGUGAGCGGCGGACGGGUGAGUAACGCGUGGGAAUAUGCCCUUUGGUACGGAAUAGUCCUGGGAAACUGGGGGUAAUACCGUAUGCGCCCUUCGGGGGAAAGAUUUAUCGCCAAAGGAUUAGCCCGCGUUGGAUUAGGUAGUUGGUGGGGUAAUGGCCUACCAAGCCGACGAUCCAUAGCUGGUUUGAGAGGAUGAUCAGCCACACUGGGACUGAGACACGGCCCAGACUCCUACGGGAGGCAGCAGUGGGGAAUCUUAGACAAUGGGGGCAACCCUGAUCUAGCCAUGCCGCGUGAGUGAUGAAGGCCCUAGGGUUGUAAAGCUCUUUCAGCUGGGAAGAUAAUGACGGUACCAGCAGAAGAAGCCCCGGCUAACUCCGUGCCAGCAGCCGCGGUAAUACGGAGGGGGCUAGCGUUGUUCGGAAUUACUGGGCGUAAAGCGCACGUAGGCGGACCGGAAAGUUGGGGGUGAAAUCCCGGGGCUCAACCCCGGAACUGCCUUCAAAACUAUCGGUCUGGAGUUCGAGAGAGGUGAGUGGAAUUCCGAGUGUAGAGGUGAAAUUCGUAGAUAUUCGGAGGAACACCAGUGGCGAAGGCGGCUCACUGGCUCGAUACUGACGCUGAGGU